AAAAGAUUACUAAAAAAUGGUACAAAAAUACAACAAGGUGGGCAGAAAAAUCCUAAAAAUGGUGCAAAAACACCCAAAAAGUAUCAAAAGUUUAAAAUAAAAAAUG